rnacentral:rRNA from 1 species
CCUACGGGUGGCAGCAGUCGAGAAUCAUUCACAAUGGGGGAAACCCUGAUGGUGCGACGCCGCGUGGGGGAAUGAAGGUCUUCGGAUUGUAAACCCCUGUCAUGUGGGAGCAAAUUAAAAAGAUAGUACCACAAGAGGAAGAGACGGUUAACUCUGUGCCAGCAGCCGCGGUAAUACAGAGGUCUCAAGCGUUGUUCGGAAUCCCUGGGCGUAAGGCGUGCGUAGGCAGUGUCGUAAGUCGUGUGUGAAAGGCGCGGGCUCAACCCGCGGACGGCACAUGAUACUGCGAGACUAGAGUAAUGGAGGGGGAACCGGAAUUCUCGGUGUAGCAGUGAAAUGCGUAGAUAUCGAGAGGAACACUCGUGGCGAAGGCGGGUUCCUGGACAUUAACUGACGCUGAGGCACGAAGGCCAGGGGAGCGAAAGGGAUUAGAUACCCGAGUAGUC